UUGCAUUUGGUCUAGUGGUACGAUUUUUGCUUAGGGUGUGAGAGGUCUCCAGUUCAAUUUUGGAAAUGCCCC
rnacentral:tRNA from 1 species